rnacentral:tRNA from 1 species
GGGGCUGUAGCUCAGUUGGUUAGAGCGCUUCCCUGUCACGGAAGAGGUCGCGGGUUCGAGCCCCGUCGGUCCCG